CCUGGUUCAGAAGGGCGGCUGUUGCCGGCAUCCUCCAUUCCGUGGACAUGGCUAGCAAUUACCACACCCACGACCACAUAUAAAAUCGGAAGCUGCAUGGUAGCAGUCAGGAGGUAGCAGUAUAACGCGCAAGUGCGAUGAGUGCCUACCUACCUACUGGAACCCAUUGAAACACCGUAUGCCAAACUGAGAGGAUAUCUCCCGUCUAUCUGAAAAACAAAAGCUCGGGGAAUGGAGGCAGCAUUUCAUGCGUUAUCGCGACAGCGGUUUUGGCACCAGUCCACUUCUGAGUCGCCGUGGGGUCUCAGAUACUGCGGAGCACUUCAUAAAUGAGCCGCGGCAAACCCCCUGGAUAUGCUACGAAAUUCACUAUCCCCUUUGAACCUCUUGCAACACUGCUUGUCCGUCGUCCUGUUCCAAGGCUCCACAACGCAUUUGCAAGAAAAGUGCGAUAUGUUCCCCCCGAACAAGCCGAUCAGCAGAUCACCGAUGUUUGGCUGAUGUCGUCGUCUCUAAUGGCCCUCCUGCUUGUGGCUCGGCAGAAAAAAACCGCCACCUUUGUCCGUGACGCAUAAAAACAAGUGAUUUCUCGCACUGCUCAGUGCUCAUGGUUUAUUUCGGGAUUCUAUGGAGUCAGUUUACAUUAUCGUUCUGCAACCCGUGGUUGUUGCGAACGAAGGUCGAAAUGUGGCCGCAACGGAUAAGGAUUUGUCUGGGGCGGUUUUUUUCCGGGGGUUCCUGAUGGAUGGGCACGACGUGUGUCUGCCUCCCAAUAAAGCUUCAGCUAAGACGACUUUUUGGAGCGUCAGACUCAAUUUUCCGCGUGUAUAACGGGUUAACAUGAACAUUCUAUAAUCCAUUUUUGGGGGUUGGCGCGUGGCUGAAUGUGUUGACGUAUGUGCCAACUGUAGCGUAUCUAAAUACGAGUUUCAUGCGUGCUCCAGGGAUCGUGUGGAGCUGAAAACUCCAUGUGGCCGGAUUUAGGAAACGGGAAGCAAGAAGGCGAGUCACGCCCGGCACUGUCGCUGGACCUAGUUGUGGCCUAAACGGGAAUUCACAGGUGAUGGGCAGCUGUCAAUAAAUACAUUCCGGAUUGACAGGGGAGGAGACACAAGCGCGCAGCCGUUCUCGGCCGAGUGGAAUUGCUCUGAUGUCGAACGAACGUUGGCAUGCGAAUAUGAGACAGAUCUAUAAUUAUCAUUUUAACGUGCAUGCAUACGCCCUAGACUGCUGUAACCGCUGGAAUGUCACCAGAUACAGGAGGUACAGUUCUUCGGAACUCACUGCAACAGCAGUUUGACAUUUCACACUGAUAGCACGAGGCCAAGAUGUAAUUUGUCUUUGCUUUCCCGAUGAUGCCCGUGAGAGAUUCGUUUGCAAGUACUUCGAAGCAGGCCGGAACCCUGUUCGCAGUAGCUGAAGGCCCUGAGUAACUGCCGGCGGGUUCCGCGGAGAUUAGCACGUUCCUGCGCAGGCAAGAUGCUCCGAAUAGCCGCACUCUCGGGAACCCGGAAUGCUGUAGAAUAGUCGUGAAACUGAUGGCGGCAGGAUCAGUGACAAUUUUUGGAGAACCCGUAACUUUGAGUUAUUUGCUCUGACUUAACGAAAUACGGAGAACUAUUCGCUAAGGCAACAACACAUACGGUACUCCAAUGCAUUGGCGGUUGGGUGGAACAGAGGGCCGACAUUCCGAUAAUUCGUAACGAACGAAAAGGUGGGACGCCAUGGGAACUGCACAAGAAAGAGCGGCAGUGAAAAAUAAGCCAGGGGAACUGGCGGCAGACCGUUUCACCUACCCGCUGGUCGUCGGCAGUGCACUCAUCGGCGUCGCUGCUGCGCUCUUCUCGCUCUGUAUUGGUUUAUACGUCACCUACGUUUGCUGGGCAGAUCUCAACGGAGAGGCGAACGCUCAAUCUGCUAGGUCGUUGCACGAGAACCCCCGAAGCCGAAGUGUGAACAGAUAAUCUCCACAUUUUGACGCUUGACCAUUGUCUGCUGUCACGUUGUCACUGUCUCGCUGAGAACUCGGCUCCACUUUUUCGAGUAGUAAGAUGCAGGUGCUCUUGCUGCUAUAUCGUUCUAACCUGUCAACUCUUUGUCGCUGGCGUCACAGUGUCUACUGGGAACUCCACUGUUGGUCACUGCCUCGUGGCUUCAUUGCUUCUUCAACUUCUCGCAUUCGCUGCAUGCUCACAUGAAAGUUUUGAAUGGUUCCCACGUAGAGAUUGGGUGCCGCCCAUUGCAUGGCAUGCGUGUUUUCUCCAGUGCGUACCUGCAGCUGAUGCUGCAUAUGUUUCGAUGUCUCAAAUGUGUUUUUAUCCAUCGUCUGCUUCUACCACGCAAAUGACGUUUCUUCAGACGCAUCCAUUGACAGAUACAAGUGAACAGCUGAGCUGUCUACACAGAGC
rnacentral:lncRNA from 1 species